rnacentral:tmRNA from 1 species
GGGCUUGUACUGGUUUCGACGGGGGUUUUGAAGUUGUGGAAGCCAUCCGCAGUCUCCCGAACUGCGUAAUAACGGGAAAUUCUAAAUAUAAACGCUGACGAUCAGUUAGUAAUGGCAGCCUAAGUGCUGCCCGUCAGUCCUGUUGCACUCACACUUCAGGAGUCUGGUGUCGACCUUGUGAGAAACCUUGCCGGGUAAGCUUUGCCCCGGUAGAUGUAUCAUGAAGCUACUGAAGCAGUAAGCCUGUCGGUGGGCGUACUGCUGAGGGAAUGUUA